rnacentral:tRNA from 1 species
CGUCGGCCUGGGGCGAGGACUUGGCCGGCUCCGGCCGGGCGGGCUCCGGCCGGGCCGGCUCCGGCUCGGCCGGAGCCGGCGUC